rnacentral:rRNA from 1 species
UACGAAGGGGGCUAGCGUUGCUCGGAAUUACUGGGCGUAAAGGGCGCGUAGGCGGGUUUUUAAGUCAGAGGUGAAAUCCUGGAGCUCAACUCCAGAACUGCCUUUGAUACUGGGAAUCUUGAGUAUGGAAGAGGUGAGUGGAACUGCGAGUGUAGAGGUGAAAUUCGUAGAUAUUCGCAAGAACACCAGUGGCGAAGGCGGCUCACUGGUCCAUAACUGACGCUGAGGCACGAAGGCGUGGGGAGCAAACAGG